rnacentral:tRNA from 1 species
GGGGUUGUGGCUCAGUGGUAGAGUACUUGCCUAGCACGUAAGGACCUGGGUUCGAUCCUCAGCACCA